UAGGCGUACGGGUGAGUAACACGUGGAUUAUCUGCCUCUUAGUGGGGAAUAACUCUGGGAAACCGGAGCUAAUGCCGCAUAAGCCUGGGAAGGGAAAGUCGCAAGACGCUGAGAGAGGAGUCCGCGGCCGAUUAGCUAGUUGGCAGGGUAAAAGCCUACCAAGGCUAUGAUCGGUAGCCGGCCUGAGAGGGCACACGGCCACACUGGCACUGAAACACGGGCCAG
rnacentral:rRNA from 1 species